rnacentral:rRNA from 1 species
UGCCAGCAGCCGCGGUAAGACGGAGGGUGCAAACGUUGUUCGGAAUCACUGGGCAUAAAGAGCACGUAGGCGGUCCGCUAAGUCAAUUGUGAAAUCCCCCGGCUCAACCGGGGAACUGCAACUGAUACUGGUGGACUCGAGGACGGUAGGGGUGAGUGGAACUCCAGGUGGAGCGGUGAAAUGCGUAGAUAUCUGGAGGAACACCGGUGGCGAAAGCGACUCACUGGACCGUUUCUGACGCUGAGGUGCGAAAGCUAGGGUAGCAAACGGGAUUAGAUA